AUUGAACGCUGGCGGCAGGCCUAACACAUGCAAGUCGAGCGAGCGGCGGACGGGUGAGUAAUGUAUGGGGACUGCCCGAUAGAGGGGGAUAACUACUGGAAACGGUAGCUAAUACCGCAUACUAUCGGAUAACCCAUAUGGGAUUAGCUAGUAGGUGAGGUAAUGGCUCACCUAGGCGACGAUCCCUAGCUGGUCUGAGAGGAUGAUCAGCCACACUGGGACUGAGACACGGCCCAGACUCCUACGGAGGCAGCAGUGGGGAAUUUUGGACAAUGGGGGAAACCCUGAUCCAGCCAUCCCGCGUGUAUGAUGAAGGCCUUCGGGUUGUAAAGUACUUUUGGCAGAGAAGCGGUAUCUGCAGAAUAAGCACCGGCUAACUACGUGCCAGCAGCCGCGGUAAUAC
rnacentral:rRNA from 1 species